AGAGUUUGAUCAUGGCUCAGAUUGAACGCUGGCGGCAUGCUUUACACAUGCAAGUCGAGCGGCAGCGCGGGGGCAACCCUGGCGGCGAGCGGCGAACGGGUGAGUAAUGCAUCGGAACGUGUCCCGUAGUGGGGGAUAACCCGGCGAAAGCCGGACUAAUACCGCAUAUGCUCUACGGAGGAAAGCGGGGGAUUCGCAAGAACCUCGCGCUAUGGGAGCGGCCGAUGUCCGAUUAGCUUGUUGGUGGGGUAAUGGCUUACCAAGGCGACGAUCGGUAGCUGGUCUGAGAGGAUGAUCAGCCACACUGGGACUGAGACACGGCCCAGACUCCUACGGGAGGCAGCAGUGGGGAAUUUUGGACAAUGGGGGCAACCCUGAUCCAGCCAUGCCGCGUGCGGGAAGAAGGCCUUCGGGUUGUAAACCGCUUUUGUCCGGAAAGAAAAGGCACCUCCUAAUACGGGGUGCUCUUGACGGUACCGGAAGAAUAAGCACCGGCUAACUACGUGCCAGCAGCCGCGGUAAUUCA
rnacentral:rRNA from 1 species